AAAUGCUGAAGCGGAUCAGACGUUGGACUUCAUUUCCCGAGUAAACCCCUGUCGAAAAAUGUGGCGCAAGUUUGAAACUUGCGAAUGUUCUCCACAGCUACAGCGUUUGAGAAGAAGACUACUAUCGUUUCCCUGUCCGCAAGGGGGCAAACAGCUCAGAGGCUGGAUGGCUGGAGUCGUUCACACUGGAGUGAUAAAUGUCCUCGACGUUGGGGAGAACAGAACUUCUGUUUCAUAAGAGUUCUUUUCAGAAAUAUCCUGAAUUUGUUGUGGCCUGAAAUGGGGGUGUGUUGCCUGACAGUGAAUGCGCUGGUGGAGGAGGGGUCCAUGUCAGUGACGGCGUAGUCAACAACACUCGUCCCAAGAGCUGAGCAACGCAGCCCGUUGUAGAGGUACCAGGGGCCGAUGGUGGAGCGACGGGCCAGGUGCAUGCUGGGAAGCGCAGCGCAGCCUCUGGCGAUCUCCGUGUUGAUGUCCCAGAUGACAUGAAGGGGGACAUCAGUCCGUGGCGGCAGUGUGGAUUUGACCACGCGAGAAAGGGCAGCAGUGCAGUAUAAUGGAUGGAGAUGUGCCUCAGGGAGCCUGGCCAGAGCGAGCUCUCUAAACUCUGCAAGCUCCAUCUGAAGCAGGGCCAGGGUCUCCCUUCUGUGUCGGGCGUCAUUUCGGGGAGAAGCGGGGGCAGCGCAGGGCAUGCUGGGUACAGUGGUGGGUACAGUGCAGGGUGUGGCUUCCUUUGGGUCUGAAUCGUCAGCUUGUGUGAUGAGCAGGCAUUUACCCUUCUGUGCUUUUACAUUACAUUAUAUUACAUUACAGGCAUUUAGCAGUCUCUUAUUCAAAGCGACACAGCUUUUUUACAUUGCAUCCAUUUAUACAGCUGGAUAAAUACUGGAGCAAUGCAGCUUUAAGUACCUUGCAAAAGGGUACAACCUGGUUCUACUUGGAAAGUUAACUUGUGACCUUUAGGUUACAAGACCAGCUCCUUACCCAUUAUACUACACUGUCACCAUUAUGCUACAUUAUUCUUUGUAAAAUAACCAGGCUGGCUACACUAGCACUUUGGAUGAGAGCGGAGUCAUUUGUAUAGAUCAGUGGUCUCCAACCCUGGUCCUGGAGAGCUACAGGGUCUGCUGGUUUUUGUUUUCA